rnacentral:rRNA from 1 species
CGAGAAAAGGGGGGCAACUCCCUGAGUACAGCGGCGCACGGGUGAGUAACACGUGGGUAAUCUGCCCUGGAGUGGGGAAUAACACCGGGAAACCGGUGCUAAUACCGCAUACGAUCACGAGGUCUGCGGACUUUGUGAUGAAAGGAGCAAUUCGCUCUAGGAGGAGCCCGCGGCUGAUUAGCUAGUUGGUGAGGUAACGGCUCACCAAGGCAACGAUCAGUAUCCGGUCUGAGAGGACGGUCGGACACACUGGAACUGAGACACGGUCCAGACUCCUACGGGAGGCAGCAGUGGGGAAUAUUGGACAAUGGGGGCAACCCUGAUCCAGCCAUGCCGCGUGUGUGAAGAAGGCCUUCGGG